GACGAACGCUGGCGGCGUGCUUAACACAUGCAAGUCGAGCGGUGAACCACCCUUCGGGGUGGGGAUCAGCGGCGAACGGGUGAGUAACACGUGGGCAACCUGCCCCUAGCUCUGGGAUAACCCCGGGAAACCGGGGCUAAUACCGGAUACGACCACGGAGGGCAUCUCCCGUGGUGGAAAGUUCCGGCGGCUAGGGAUGGGCCCGCGGCCUAUCAGCUUGUUGGUGGGGUAAUGGCCCACCAAGGCGACGACGGGUAGCCGGCCUGAGAGGGCGACCGGCCACACUGGGACUGAGACACGGCCCAGACUCCUACGGGAGGCAGCAGUGGGGAAUAUUGCGCAAUGGGCGAAAGCCUGACGCAGCGACGCCGCGUGAGGGACGACGGCCUUCGGGUUGUAAACCUCUUUCAGCAGGGACGAAGCGAAAGUGACGGUACCUGCAGAAGAAGCACCGGCCAACUACGU
rnacentral:rRNA from 1 species